CGCCAUACUUGGCGAAUUUUCAGUAUAAUUACUUCAAAAUGCCUUUAUUGGUGCAGUAAGUGCCAAUAGGCAGAGUUUUUAGCUAUCUAUAGCAAGAAUUAGAAAGUAUAUAAUUCUAUAGAUAAUGAGCUGAUCGUUUAUCUGACUGUUUCUGGUUGAUAUGGCGUUAGCUAUAUAUGUAAUUCUUCAAAAUCUUGUGUGUACUCGUUUGUGGAAAAAAGGUCAGUAAUUUUCAUUCAGUUUUUCUUGUUGACUUUGGUAGAACACUGAAGAAAAUCACGAGCGAUAAGAACACAACCGAUUUCAGGGUUCAAUAUCUUAUUUCUUCGUAACCUGGCGUCUUUGACUUGUAAAGGCAGCAGUGAAGGGUUAAAUAUAUUGACUAGGUUAAUUGACUCGGUUUUAUAUCUUCUUUUAACAUUAGGCACAUAUAUAUAUAUAUAUAUAUACGUUCCAUUAAAUAUACAUUGGUCUGGAAAUUAACCAUCCUGUUCUCUUUCAACCGAUGAAAGUGUAAUAUUUCAACUCGGAAUUCAAAGUAUAUGCUUAAAGCUCAAACUGCACAAUAAUAUCCGCAUCAUGCAGUAGUAAACUACUGAUUAAAUAAACUUACAAUGUUCUACAUUUGCUUUUUUUUAAAUUCACAUCUAGUGUGCAUGUAAUCUCGUUCUCAGAGAAUGCCUGUUUGCAGGUUAGGUAUGUCCAACACUAACCUGCGAAUCGACAUGCUCUAUGAACAAGUAUAAUAUUAAGAAUAUUUGCAUCAUCAUUCAAGUUUAUAUUUAUUCCAUUUUUUUCUUCUAACUCUGUAGUUCUUUUCACAUCCCAUUCUCUAUCCGGUCCUAUAUCAUACAACAUAUAUACUGAUAUAGGAACCCGGUAAUUAUGCACUGGCUAGCUAUUAUAUUAGAACCCAGUUGACGGUUCUUUAUCCUCCAUUUAAAGGGACUAUAGACAGGAUGGUAGUUGACUGACAAACGAGAAAGACGAAGAGUUGAAUUUUUAACCCAUUUCCAGUACUUUCAUGCAUGCGAUGCAUGGAAUGAAAAUAAAUGAGAAAUAGAAAUAUAUCCAUGUGUUGACUUGUUGAGAUUGAGUAUAGCUCAUCGCAAAUCUAGCCAGCCGUUGUCAAUCAAUUCUAGAAGUAUAUUUGAUAUGGAGAUAAUAUGCAAACAAUAUGUUAAAUUAAGUACCAUCAAAAUGAUUGAUUCUUCUUUUGUCUUUAAUAGACAUUUAUAUGAUCCGCUUCAGCUGACUUGCAGGGAACAAGACAUUGACUAGAUUUAUGUUAUGGACUCAUGCAUGCGUCAUCAAGAACACUAAAAAUCAUAAUUUUCAUGAUCAGUAUAUAUGUCUAACCGUUGGUCAAGUCUAUAGAUUCCAAUUUCUGACAUGGCAAAAGUCAUUCUUCUCCGUCUAAAGUGAAAAACAAUUACUUGUCAGUAAGUGGGAAACUCAUCGAACGAGACAGACGAUAUAUUAUAUAUACAGUAUGUUUUAAUGUUUAUACACCUGAGAAAGCCUGAACAGAAUCAGCUAGUUCUGCCAUUUGACUGUUAACGUACUGUACAAACACUCAAAUAACUCAAUGUCACUAAUAUGAAUCUCGUAUACGUAAUACAUAGUCUGGUCAAUCAAUGUUGUUUAUAGAGCUGUUCAAAGAAAAAUAAAACCGAACCAGAAAAUUCAGACAG